UUGCAGUUAAAAGCUCGUAGUUGGAUCUAGGGACGCGCAUUUCAAGCGCUCGUGUCAUCGGGUCAAACCGGUGACUGCGUAGCGUUGCGGGCUCGGUCCGUCGGUGUCACCUAAAAGCAUCGGCGUGUCAACCGGCCCGCCCGUCCCCUCCUUCUGGAUUCCCGUUCCUGCUAUUGAGUUAGUGGGGACGUCACAGGGAGCUCAUCGUCGUCAGCAAUGGCGGCGGUGAGUUCCUGGGGCCCAGAUCGUUUACCGUGAAAAAAUUAGAGUGUUCAAAGCAGGCAGAUCCAAUUUUCUGCCACCGAAUACAUUAGCAUGGGAUAAUGGAAUAGGACCCUGUCCUCCUAUUUUCAGUUGGUUUGCCGCGAGGACCAGGGUAAUGAUUAAUAGGGAUAGUUGGGGGCAUUAAUAUUUAAUUGUCAGAGGUGAAAUUCUUGGAUUUAUGAAAGAUUAACUUCUGCGAAAGCAUCUGCCAAGGAUGUUUUCAUUAAUCAAGAACGAAAGUUAGGGGAUCGAAGACGAUCAGAUACCGUCGUAGUCUUAACCAUAAACGAUGCCGACCAGCGAUUAGGAGACGUUGAAUACAAAACACCACCAUGCGCAUUGCGGUCGUCUUUGGUGUGUCGCUCACAAGGCGGCAUCAUCGGGACGGCUUAGCUCGCAUGGCACCGGUGAAUGACUCCCCUAGCAGCUUGUGAGAAAUCAUAAGUCUUUGGGUUCCGGGGGGAGUAUGGUCGCAAGGCUGAAACUUAAAGGAAUUGACGGAAGGGCACCACCAGGAGUGGA
rnacentral:rRNA from 1 species